rfam:Echinostoma caproni strain Egypt genome assembly, scaffold: ECPE_scaffold0012352
GCAUUGCUGAUGAGACCCAACCAGGUCGAAACAGCUGUCAAAUCAUAC